rnacentral:rRNA from 1 species
GACGAACGCUGGCGGCGUGCUUAACACAUGCAAGUCGAACGGAAAGGCCCCUUUGGGGGUACUCGAGUGGCGAACGGGUGAGUAACACGUGAGUAACCUGCCCUUGACUUCGGGAUAACUUCAGGAAACUGGGGCUAAUACCGGAUAGGAAUCCUUGCUGCAUGGUGGGGGUUGGAAAGCUUCGGCGGUUUUGGAUGGACCCGCGGCUUAUCAGCUUGUGGGUGGGGUAGGGGCUUCCCAAGGCUUUGACGGGUACCCGCCCUGGGGGGGGACCCGGCCCCAUGGGGCUUGGAUACGGCCCAGACUCCCACCGGGGGCAGCAGUGGGGAAUAUUGCACAAUGGGCGGAAGCCUGAUGCAGCAACGCCGCGUGCGGGAUGACGGCCUUCGGGUUGUAAACCGCUUUCAGCAGGGGCGAAGCUUGUGGUGACGGUACCUGCAGAAGAAGCACCGGCUAACUACGUG